UUAGCAUGAGUUCAAUUGCAAAAUCUGAAGCAUUUUAUUGAACUAAAUCUUUCUUGUUUGUCAAGAAAAAACUUCGCUUCAGUAAGCAGAACUAAAACACCUGUCAAAACAUUGUACAACGUAAAAACGUUUCUGAAACUUAUUUAGCUUACUAUAUAUAUGAACUAAAAAUUCUUAUUUUCGUUUGGCAAAUCAAAGAAGAAGAAUGGGUAUCGGAGAUGCUUUAUGCAAGUUAGUAUGGGCAAUAAUAUGGAUGCUGAUUUUGUUGUUUGUCGCUUUGCCAAUUGGUUUUAUCAGUGCUCUACUCUACAUCGUAGUGUCCCCAUUUACAGUGUGUUGUGACUGUUUAAAUACAAUAGCAGACUUCUUAAAAAAGGUUUACGCUUUCCAAAGAAGAUAGCAAGUUAUAUGAUGGAUGGAAAGAACGGAUGUUGAUAUAUUACAAAAAUGAAAAAAUGUUUUCCAAAAAUGCAUUUGUGAAGAAAUGAAUUUUAAUUUGACGAAGACAAGGAUAGUCAAGGAUAUUGUUGAUCACUUGACAUCAAUAACAACAAUAUUCAAAACCUAUCUUACAUUACGAUUAAAUCCACAUUCUACUAUGUCGUUCAGUGAGAAA